AAACAGAGAGUCCAGAUGGUGUUUGAAGGAGUGGACACUGUAGCGUCCAUCUCUCUGAAUGGAGUCGUUGUGGGAAAGACAGACAACAUGUUCCGCAGAUAUGACUUUAGCGUAGGCCGGUUGUUGAAGGAAGAGGAGAACGUUGUGAAGGUGAGCCUCCUCUCCCCUGUCGUGUACGCCUCAGAGAGGAGUCAGGCUCACUCCUCCUACAGAGUGCCCCCUGACUGCCCUCCACCCGUCCAGAAGGGAGAAUGUCACGUCAACUUUAUCAGAAAGGCUCAGAGUUCCUUCAGUUGGGACUGGGGACCGUCGUUCCAACCCUGGGCUGUGGAAGGGUGUUCGUCUGGAGGCCUUUGAUGUUCUGCGCCUCAUCCAUCUCUCUACUGUACCAGUCUAUAACUCCUCUCUGUCUCAGUGGGUGGUGAAGGUGGACGUGUUGGUUGUUGCCGUGGAGGAGACUAAAGUCCAGGUCAACCUCUCUCUGAUGGAGCUGUCUUCAGAACAGACCUUCACAGUGGUGUUUCCAUCUGGGAAGAGCAAGAACACCUUGAUCCUCCAUGUCAACACAGUUAGUAUGGGCUGCUGGGUGGGAA